UGGGGAAUAUUGCACAAUGGGCGAAAGCCUGAUGCAGCGACGCCGCGUGAGGGAUGACGGCCUUCGGGUUGUAAACCUCUUUCAGUAGGGAACAAGGCCGGCACUUGUGUUGGUUGAGGGUACUUGCAGAAGAAGCGCCGGCUAACUACGUGCCAGCAGCCGCGGUAAUACGUAGGGCGCAAGCGUUAUCCGGAAUUAUUGGGCGUAAAGAGCUCGUAGGCGGUUUGUCGCGUCUGCCGUGAAAGUCCGGGGCUCAACCCCGGAUCUGCGGUGGGUACGGGCAGACUAGAGUGAUGUAGGGGAGACUGGAAUUCCUGGUGUAGCGGUGAAAUGCGCAGAUAUCAGGAGGAACACCGAUGGCGAAGGCAGGUCUCUGGGAUGACACUGACGCUCAUGCACGAAAGCGUGGGGAGCAAAC
rnacentral:rRNA from 1 species